UACUUCCUACGGGAGGCAGCAGUGGGGAAUAUUGCACAAUGGGGGAAACCCUGAUGCAGCGACGCCGCGUGAAGGAAGAAGUAUUUCAGUAUGUAAACUUCUAUCAGCAGGGAAGAAAAUGACGGUACCUGACUAAGAAGCCCCGGCUAACUACGUGCCAGCAGCCGCGGUAAUACGUAGGGGGCAAGCGUUAUCCGGAUUUACUGGGUGUAAAGGGCGCGUAGGCGGCGAUGCAAGUCAGAAGUGAAAGCCCGGGGCUCAA
rnacentral:rRNA from 1 species